GAGGUGCCUGGAGGUUUCGCGCUUUCUCCGACUUUUGAUUGCCAGCGCGCUGGCGGGAGCCGCGCGCUGGCGGCAGCUGCAGGGCGAAUAGCCCGCCAAGUUGCUUAGGUGUGUGGCAGUUGCUGCCUUUCUGCAGCGGCGGGGUGGGCGACGGUGGCGGGAUGAGCAUCCAGGCGGGAUCCUUUGGCGGCAGCAGCAGAGAGAGCUCCACCCGGAUAAUGCAGAGGCCCAGGCUCCAGCGGACUUCAAGUCCCAGAGCAGGCUGCACCCGCGUCUGCGUGAAAUCUAAAGGGACUUGGCCUGAUCACAAAUGAGCUAACUUCGCGGCGGGGCUGGCGAACACAGACAAUGCCAGCCUGGAGGAGGCAGUGGCCAGCACUGCUUAGGCCUCGUUCCCAGGACGCGCAUUACUGAGUGCUGUACUUUACCCUUUGGAUGAAGGCUCCAGAGUACGACCUCCCCAAACUGAUAUCAAAGAAGUGCUUUGCAUGGGGCUUGAGAAAACAUCUUACUGUUUAAGAAAAGAACGUCUUACUGUCUGAGAAGCUGAAUAGAAUGAGAUGCCAUCAGUAUUGGGUGUUAUUUUUCAGAAGUUGCUCAAAGAAGGAGAGAAGAUGGUUAAGUGGGGAUGGAGACAAUUAUUUUGUAACUCAUAGAAGGACAGAUGUUUAUGUAACAGUUGAUAGUUUUGGUGGAAUAAUCAUGAGCAUGUUUCUGAAAUUAAUAUAAAAUAUACAGAGACCCCUAAAAUCACUGCUUAAAUUACACGGGUCUUGAGGUGUUCGGAAAGAGCAAACUUUGGAAGUAUAAUUGUAAAAAUAAUGUCAUACAGACAAAGAGAAGAGAAAACUUAACGACAGCUUUCUUAAAUCGCUGUUAUUCUUGAAUCAUCUGAAAGCAGUACACGUGCCUGGCACCAAUAUACAUCAGAGAGUAAAUCAUUGCACAAGGAGACUUGAUCUUCUUUUUUUGUAGAAUCUGGAGGAAACAAAUCUAUGAAAAGCAAGAGAUGGUAGAGAAUGGUGUUGUCGAAAUUGCCUGACAUCAUUGGAGAUAGAGAAUUUGCCCUGGUAAAAGGUGCUCCUCAGGGAGGAGCAUCUGCACAUUCCAUUAGCAUAAAGCCCCUGGUGGGCCAUAUGAAGAAGUCUGGAUUUUGCUAUAAAUGUGAAAUUUAUUUUAAAUGGAGGAUUUGAAGCAGGGGGGUAAUAUACCCUGACAUAUUUUAAAAAAUCACCCUAGCAGCGUUUGUGCGGGGUAAAGACUCUGGGAGGACAAGAAGAGAUGUGGAAGGGAGAAGGCAGCUAAGAGUCUGUCCCAGGAUUGCAAAGAUGUUGGAGCCCGACCUCAGAUGGUAAUGGUGGAAGUGUUAGAAAUGGCUGGAUUCCACAUUUAUUUUGAAGGGCCAGCCCUUGGAAUUUGCUUAUGGAUGUUCCAUAAAUAAGAGAAACAGA
ensembl:lncRNA novel transcript